UUGAGCUUCUUGUCCCCACCACGCUCCACCAGCUUGAACAUCUUCUCAUACACAGUCUCAAUGUACUCAAUAUCCUGAUCAACAAAACAGAAACAAAAGCCAAUGAAUAUGAGAGAGCCAUUGUUUCAAGAGGCAGCCUUACGAGUGAGGUGGAAGAGGGCAUCACAGGCCUUGAUGUGGGACAAGAAGGCAUUCCCAAGACCCUGACCCUCAGCAGCACCCUUCACCAGGCCAGCGAUGUCCGUCACGUUCAGGAAAGCAGGAACUUUGCUGCAGGACAAAAUAUUAAGUACUGAGUAACAGUAGAUGACUCUGGGAACACAGCACACAAGCAGAAUUACCUGGCUGGCUUGUGGAAGUCAACCAGGUAGGUGA